ACCUGGAUCACUGGGCUGCCCUAAUCAAGGAUAUCAAAAAUGAAGGGGCAGCUAAAGAAAAAUAAAAGACACCUCAGAAAGUAGCCUGCCUCUUUGACAAGGGACAUGCCUUCAGAGGAACAUAACAGAAACCUCUGAGAAUUGUCAACAAUAAAAAGACUGAGCAACAAGGGAAACUGGUAGGAAGCCAAAGGUUUUAAGAGCAUGAUAGAAAUUGGCACUAAUCCUCAUAAGAGAAGAAUGUCAGCCAAGCCAGUGAAGGAAUUUUGGAGUUCGCUUUGAAGACUUAUGCACUCUCCAGCUGGUCACAGACACUACACUCACCCAUUUUGUAAAUACACUUUUUUUUGUUUUGUUUUUUAAGCUUCUCACUUCAGUAUCUACCAGACAGGCUUGUGCAAGGAGUGAACUAGUAUUGUAUCUGUUAAUUUCUUUGCAGGCAAAAAUCAAGUUACCAGGAAAAUAUUUUUUAAAAACCACGAACAGUCUAAGAGCACUGAACAUUUUGAAUCAUUUGCCUUUUCUCAACACUGGAUUUUAAGCAAGGAACAAGACUAUUCCAGUUCUAAAUGCUUUAAUGAACAAGGGGUAUUGGGUUUUAGCAUCAACCUCACUCUGAAGCUUUAACUUGAGUAGCUGCUGUGCUUUGUAAAGCUUCAAUCCAAUUCAUUUGAUAACUACAAUUACCAAAUCUGGGCAUUGCUG
rnacentral:lncRNA from 1 species